rnacentral:rRNA from 1 species
CCUACGGGAGGCAGCAGUAGGGGAUCUUGCACAAUGGGCGCAAGCCUGAUGCAGCGAUGCCGCGUGAGGGAUGAAGGCCUUCGGGUCGUAAACCUCUUUCAGUAGGGAAGAAGCCACGGGUCACCGUGGUGACGGUACCUGCAGAAGAAGCCCCGGCUAACUACGUGCCAGCAGCCGCGGUAAAACGUAGGGGGCAAGCGUUGCCCGGAUUCACUGGGCGUAAAGGGCGCGUAGGCGGCCGCCUAAGUCAGACGUGAAAUCCCUCGGCUCAACCGGGGAACUGCGUCUGAUACUGGGUGGCUUGAAUCCGGGAGAGGGAUGUGGAAUUCCAGGUGUAGCGGUGAAAUGCGUAGAUAUCUGGAGGAACACCGGUGGCGAAGGCGGCAUCCUGGACCGGCAUUGACGCUGAGGCGCGAAAGCCAGGGGAGCAAACGGGAUUA